GAUGAACGCUGGCGGCGUGCCUAAUACAUGCAAGUCGAGCGAACAGACGAGGAGCUUGCUCCUCUGACGUUAGCGGCGGACGGGUGAGUAACACGUGGAUAACCUACCUAUAAGACUGGUAUAACUUCGGGAAACCGGAGCUAAUACCGGAUAAUAUAUUGAACCGCAUGGUUCAAUAGUGAAAGACGGUUUUGCUGUCACUUAUAGAUGGAUCCGCGCCGCAUGAGCUAGUUGGUAAGGUAACGGCUUACCAAGGCAACGAUGCGUAGCCGACCUGAGAGGGUGAUCGGCCACACUGGAACUGAGACACGGUCCAGACUCCUACGGGAGGCAGCAGUAGGGAAUCUGCCGCAAUGGGCGAAAGCCUGACGGAGCAACGCCGCGUGAGUGAUGAAGGUCUUCGGAUCGUAAAACUCUGUUAUUAGGGAAGAACAAAUGUGUAAGUAACUAUGCACGUCUUGACGGUACCUAAUCAGAAAGCCACGGCUAACUACGUG
rnacentral:rRNA from 1 species